CCUCGCACACACACACCUGCUCUGAGACUCCGCCCACUCUCCCCUGGUCCGGUUUACCUUUCAGGUCCGAGGAGAACUCCAUGGGGGGGAUCCAGUCGUAGUCGUAGAUCCUCUUACUGCCGGACGGGAGCAUACUGAACAGGUCUUCUGCGGUGGACUCUGAGUCUCCAGGACCCGAACCGGGUCCAGCCAACCCGCUGUCCGGCCACAGGUGGAGGGACUGUGGAUCCGGGUCCUGCCGGGCCUCCCUGUCACAAUUCUGGUCCUGGUCUUGGUCCUGACCCCCUCUGGAGUUCUUGUCCUUCAUCAGCUCCAUCUUCAGGACCCGGAUCCGGAUGCUGACCAUCUUGCGGAUCUCGGACAGAGCCGUGUCCAGGACCACCGUGAUGUUCCGGCCCAGGUGCUCCGUGAUGUCGCUGACCGAGCACAGCAGCUCCUCGUCGGGCUCCACAUCCAGGAAGUCCCCGUCAGUCCGGCAGGAGGCCCCGGGAGGCUCCAGGAAGGCCGGGUGGAGGUCUGGAGACAGACUCUGGGUCCUCCUGCGGCUCAUGGUUCACCUGGACCGGGUCUGGAUCCUGUCGGCUAACAGCUAAUGUUUGGAUGUAGCUGAAACAGUCAUGUGUGCCAGCGUGAGCACGAGUGGCCCGGAAACAUCUGCGGAUGACCUUCAAAAUAAAAGCACUGCCGUCUGAAGUCAUACUUACUCUUCGCUACGUCACUUUCAGACUCUUAUUUUGGAGAUAUUAAACGGAAGUGUAGUGUGUUGUAUUAAUGUACUUCACAGUUUGACACCAUAGAAGAAGAGAUGUGACUGAAUUCAGCAGAGUUUAGAUUUCCGUCAAUGAAUAGCGCCCUCUACAGUGUUAAGGAGGAACUGUCAUACUCUUUUUAAACUACAGUCCCUGACUAAAGUCCUGUCACUUAUCCAAGUUGUAGGAACAACAAAUAACAACUUUACUUGUAGUUGAUCAGAUGGAAUCAGAAAUGGCUCAUAUGAAAGGCAAAGCCCUCUAAAUUAUUAUUGUUUUACCAAAAUAAAGGUUUUUUUCUAUUA